UUGCACAGUGAACACCCAAGUGUGCUUUAUAUAGUUCCCUUGGCUUUGACUCUGUGCUAGAGCAACGUCUGUUCUUUUCCUCUGCAUUGAAAGGUGGAUUAUCCUUUUAAAUGUAUUCAGAAAGUCAGCACAUUG
ensembl:snoRNA